rnacentral:lncRNA from 1 species
CAGUGUGUGUGCACAUAUGAACCUCCCUCCUGUACACCAACAGGUGUGUGUGUGCACAUAUGAACCUCCCUCCUGUACACCAACAGGUGUGUGUGCACAUAUGAACCUCCCUCCUGUACACCAACAGGCGUGUGUGUGCACAUAUGAACCUCCCUCCUGUACACCAACAGGUGUGUGUGCACAUAUGAACCUCCCUCCUGCACACCAACAGGUGUGUGUGUGCACAUAUGAACCUCCUUCCUGUACACCAACAGGUGUGUGUGUGCACAUAUGAACCUCCUUCCUGUACACCAACAGGUGUGUGUGCACAUAUGAACCUCCUUCCUGUACACCAACAGGUGUGUGUGUGCACAUAUGAACCUCCUUCCUGUACACCAACAGGUGUGUGUGUGCACAUAUGAACCUCCUUCCUGUACACCAGAAACUAAUACAACACUGCACAUUGUCUAGAUUUCAAUAAAAUAUUUUAAAAAAGAGUAGUGGUUCUCACACUUUCGGGUCUCAAGAACCCUUUAUGAGAUUUACUGAGGACUCUAAAAACCUUUUGUUUGUUGGUCAUGAUUACCAAUAUUUACCAUAUUAGAAAUGGAAAUGGGGCAGGGAGGAGGUGCGCACCGGUCACUGGCAGGCCCUCUGUGUGCCUUGGCACCACGUCCCGCUGGCGCUCCUGGCCCCGGUGUGGGUGUGGGUGCAGGGCGGCACAGCUCAGUGUCACAUCAACGAAGGCACAGGGGCCCCGCGCUACCUCCCUGCCUGCUUGAGCUCAUCGUUGGAGGGACAGCAGUUCACCCCUGUGUCAAGUCUGCAGUCAGCCGCGAGCCGAGGCCAGCCUCACCCCCGGAGACCAAGGAAGGUGAGUGUCCCCUGCCUGGGCCGCAGCGCUGGGGCUUCAGACUUGGAGUAGGCCGGGGCCUGGGACGUCGAGAAGGGCGGCUCCCACCUGUGCAGCUGGACUAUGGAUGGACGGCCCGAGAUGGCUCUGCAGGGACAGCCGCCGGCCCGUCUAGGCUGGGAGCUGUGAGCUGGACUUUCCAGGCCCCCGGGAGCCCCAGGGGAGAGCCUUCAGGUGGUCCCAGGAGGGAGCAGGGUGCUCUGGGGCCAGAGGGGCAGACGGAGAGCUUGGGGCAAGGGGAGCGGCGGCACCGGGGCAGGAGACGGAGGAGAAGCCGGGGUCGGGGGGCAGGACCCCCUCCCCUCCCCCACUGCUGA